rnacentral:rRNA from 1 species
CUGGACUGGAUGAGGAAAUAGUUUAUACUGUCUUGAGUUAUUGAUUGAAUUUAAAUUUUUUAUAAAAAUGGAAAAAUAUAUUUUAGGGACAAGAAGACCCUAUAAAGCUUUUUUUAUUAUGUAUUAUUUUGUGAUAUAUAAUUAAUUUGGUUGGGGCAAUAAUUUAUUAAUAGUAAAUAUAAAUUUAAAUUAAUAAUAAAAUUUUAAUAUAUUUUUGAUCCAUUAUUAGUGAAAAAUGUUUAAGUUACUUUAGGGAUAACAGGAUAAUUUUUAUUAGAAAGUUCUUAUUAAUAAUAAAGUUUAUUACCUCGAUGUUGAAUUAAUUUAAUUAAAUGGUGAAGUAACUUUUUGAGUUUGACUGUUCGUCAAUUAAAUAAUUACAUGAUCUGAGUUC